GACGAACGCUGGCGGCGUGCCUAAUACAUGCAAGUAGAACGCUGAAGAGAGGAGCUUGCUCUUCUUGCAUGAGUUGCGAACGGGUGAGUAAAGCGUAGGUAACCUGCUUUGUAACGGGGGAGAACUAUUGGAAACGAUAGCUAAUACCGCAUAACAACGGAUGACACAUGUCAUUUAUUUGAAAGGGGCAAUUGCUCCACUACAAGAUGGACCUGCGUUGUAUUAGCUAGUAGGUGAGGUAAUGGCUCACCUAGGCGACGAUACAUAGCCGACCUGAGAGGAUGAUCGGCCACACUGGGACUGAGACACGGCCCAGACUCCUACGGGAGGCAGCAGUAGGGAAUCUUCCGCAAUGGGGGCAAGCCUGACCGAGCCACGCCGCGUGAGUGAAGAAGGUUUUCGGGUCGUAAAGCUCUGUCGUAAGGGAAGAACGGGUGUGAGGGGGGAAAGUACACGCUGUGACGGUAGCAUACAAGGAAGCAACGGCUAACUACGUG
rnacentral:rRNA from 1 species